GUUAACGGUACCUCUACGUAUUCCUGGACUUUCCAAAUCAAUUUGAUCAUAAAUGUCAGAAAAUGAUUAUUCCUGUGCUUUAAAAGUGGCAGAGCAACCUCAAAUAAAUCCGCUCUUAAAGUAAAGCCAAUUGUGCGAUGAAUACCCGAGCAUAAUGCUGCAGGUUAAAUGACUUUUGCAAUAGAACGAACUUCCCAAGAAUCUUAAGUCAGAAACUGUAAUUCCAAGGAGCAUCCCAAAGGCUUUCGAAGAGACAAUGCCACAGAUAUGUCCAUUCCGGGCAUUUAAAAUGCUGAAAGACUUUGCUGAUUAGAAAUUCUUGUAGUUUUCCUCAUUCUUCUUUUGUCCGGGGAAUGGAGAUGGAAAGGAAGGAAGACGGACAAAGGAGUGUAGAGGAGAGGAGAGGAGAGGAGACAAAGCGAGAGAGCAGUAAAAUGGCUGCGAAUGAGAAUGGAAGGCAGUGAAGAGCAGACGAGGGGUGGUUUAUUUUAUUUUAGAGAUACACAACAGCAAAAAGAUACACAUGGCAGGCGCACCAGCAGAUACAGAUACAAAACGUGCACACAUACAGUGGCACGUCGGUAUUCACAGAUACACACGACGCACUGAUGUGCGUGUGUGCGACAGAGAGGGCCUGCGGGCAUGCGCACGAGUGCGAGCGAGAUGACCGAAAGAGGGGAUGGUGGAGUGGGGGUCCAACGGAAAACACAUUUUCCAGCCUCGUCGACUUUUUACAUCGCAUUUUAUGGCAUUUGGUCGUAAACUUCUUGUUAGUGUAGAGCGGACCGCAGCGCGCGGAGCAAUCGAAACAGCGCCACGAAAACAACAAAUCAAUAGCCAAGCGGCCAAGUUAUUAAGCUCCCCUCGCAAUUACCAAGCUGGCCCCCCUUUCAAACUGAUAUUUAUCGUCUAAAGGUGUGCGCGAGUAAAAAUGAAGCAGACAUUUCGCGAAACAAUCCUCUGCAAACCGCCGGCGAUUUUCGUUCACCAAAACUAACAAGAAACCGCAAAUAGCUACGAACAUAUAUGUCAUAUUAACUCAAAUUUUGACCAAAAGCACUACCCAAAUAACUGUAUCGAUAAAAAGCUGUACGCGGCACUGGAAGUGAGCAGACCGGUGGAGUAGAUCCAUCCCCAUUCAGCAGCGGUGCAGACCCACCAAGCACCACCCCAGCA